AUGGAUAAGUUAGUCUAUUUUUUAUUCAAAUCUAACAUGACCUGAAAGAAGCUCAGUAUAGUUAAUUUCACAUUGAAAAUUUAAAAUUUUAAGGUAUUCUAACCUUUCUACGUCCUUACAAAACUAUAAUGGGCGAAUUAAUCUUGUGUCAUUGUACAUGGGUGUGCCUUCACAUGGUUUUUUCUUCAUAUUGAACUAGUCAGAUAAGUGAAGAACUGGAACACAUAAUUGGAAUUAUGGAAACUUCAGUGAACAGGUGUAGAAUGAUCUUGGAUUCUGUUUAAAGAGAUAUCAUGCGAGUAAACAAGGGAACGGAGGAAGUAUUAAUGGGGAUACACCCUUCAAACUGUUUGCCUCUACAAAGAUCAAGUGAUGCCUAGCUUUCUUUUUAGUCCCUUAGACCCUAAAGUGCAUCCGAAGGUUUAUGGGAAAACAACUCUGAUUCCAAAGAUAGAAUCGGGAAGGUGGACCUCUGUCAAACAGAACAAGCUUCUUUUAAAAAUGGGGGCCCUAGUAAGGAGCACAAACAGAAGUCUCUCAUUGAACCGGAAAGAGAAUGGGAAAUUCCUAUUGAAAGGAACUCUGAUCCCAAUCAGCAGGCAGGAAAUUCAGCCCCAAAGGCAGCUUCGGACUCCAGCAUCAUUAUGUUUUGUGGAUGUUGAAACCAAACACUCUAGGAACAUAACUAACAUCAUUUGUUGGCAUGUCAACAUUGUAUUGUAAUAAUACUUUAAAACAUGGCCUUUGGAUAUUUUAAUUCUUAUAUUUUA